rnacentral:lncRNA from 10 species
UUCCAUUGCAGCACAAAUGUUACUUUCUCCAUUUUCUGGAGAGGACAUGGAGAAACACAGAGAGGAGAUGGUCAUGUGAAGACAGAGGCAGAGAUGGGAGUGAUGCUGUCACAAGCCAUAGAACUCCAGGAGCCACCGAAGCUAGAAAAGAUGUUCUUUCAGUGACCAGUUCAGAGCAAGGCCAACCAUCUUCAGCUGGGCAUCCUCCACCCUGGACCCUCGGGUAUAUCUCCGGCUUCCCACCUCAGGGCUUCUCUGACACCAUGAUGGUAAUGGGGGUGGACUGCUGGAACUGACUUUCACCUGGGACCCAGGAAUGUGUGUGUGUGUGUGUGUGUGUGUUUGUGUGUGUGUGUGUUCCAUGUACUACUCAUGGACAAUGGGGCUGAGCAGGUAAAUGCCUCAGGCAAAGAGUUCUGAGAUGCAUUUACUCACAUUUGCAUUUCCACAAAUGCAAUUCAUUAACAUUUGCAAACUGAGCGCCUGUCACCCUGGGCAGUGACCCCUCAUUGUACAUGUAUGGACUGCUUUCUCUUUUCC